AGAGCGGAAGAUAGGUGGACGAGAGACAGGCACCUUUCCUCUUAAAAUUUGGCAAACUCCCUCACGUGAUUGACACCCUUCUAUUUCGCUUCCUUUCCUUUCCUCUCCCCUUAUUUUCCUUUUCUUCUCAUUUUCCACUGUUAUUCAUAAUAUUAUAAUAACAAUAGUCAUUUUGGUUAAUACAAGCUCCAGAUUAGGGUUUCAGUUAUUCGUCCACCUUCCGCUUUCUACUAAAAAAAAUCCCUCAAGAAAAGACUCUCAAAUUAAAGAGUACAUGUAUAAAUCCCAUCCCAGUAAACAUAAAAAUAACCGAGAGAAUCUCAGAUAACAAAAA